AGUGAACGCUGGCGGCAGGCCUAACACAUGCAAGUCGAACGGCAGCACGGCAGUAGCAAUACUGUGGGUGGCGAGUGGCGGACGGGUGAGGAAUACAUCGGGAUCUACCCUGUUGUGGGGGAUAACGUAGGGAAACUUACGCUAAUACCGCAUAAGAACUGAGGUUGAAAGCGGCGGACCGCAAGGCGUCGCGCGAUUGGAUGAACCGAUGUCCGAUUAGCUAGUUGGCGGGGUAAAGGCCCACCAAGGCGACGAUCGGUAGCUGGUCUGAGAGGACGACCAGCCACACUGGAACUGAGACACGGUCCAGACUCCUACGGGAGGCAGCAGUGGGGAAUAUUGGACAAUGGGCGCAAGCCUGAUCCAGCCAUGCCGCGUGGGUGAAGAAGGCCUCGGUUGUAAGACCUUU
rnacentral:rRNA from 1 species